GCGGUCGUGGCGGAAUUGGCAGACGCGCUAGAUUCAGGUUCUAGUGGUGGCAACACCGUGGAGGUUCAAGUCGAACCAGCCGUAUCA
rnacentral:tRNA from 1 species